UACGGGGGGGCAAGCGUUGUUCGGAAUUACUGGGCGUAAAGGGCUCGUAGGUGGCCAACUAAGUCAGACGUGAAAUCCCUCGGCUUAACCGGGGAACUGCGUCUGAUACUGGAUGGCUUGAGUUCGGGAGAGGGAUGCGGAAUUCCAGGUGUAGCGGUGAAAUGCGCAGGAUAUCAGGAGGAACACCAAUGGCGAAGGCAGCUCGCUGGGACGUGAACUGACGCUGGAGACGCGAAAGCGUGGGGAGCAAACAGG
rnacentral:rRNA from 1 species